CAAUGGCUUGGCAAAUGCGUUAUUUAUUUAAUGCCAGACUCAGCAGCUUCUCGAUUGUGCAAUUAUUAAGUUACCCUAACAAAGUUGGGUAUGCAAAACAAGACUAAGAAUUUGAUCUGUUUUUGGGCAUAAACAUACAUAUUUUCAGAUCCAAUUUAUUUCAGAUGUUUCAAUAUUUUGACAUUUAAUUGUAGCAUAAAUUCGUAUGAGUUUAAAUUCUAUUUUGUCUGUAAUAUUUAUUUUUCAAUUCUUUAUUUAUAUUGGUUUUAGUUUUUGUUUUGGUUUCCUUUCGUUUCGUUUCUGAUUUCAUGCAAAUGUUUGCAAAUUUCUCAAAUUAACGCGUAGGCGAGCUGAAUCGAGCCGAAAGAGCUGGAAGUGUCGCCGUCUCAGCACCACUAGCACCACCAGCUUCACCGCAGCCGCCUCAUCUAACGACGCGACGCCCCCACCGCUCCCCCACAGCAAGUUCAUUGAACCACCUACGAGAAAUAUGCAAAUCGUAGCUAUGGAUGCAGGGGAAAAUAAAUCAAAUGAAAUGGACUAGCAAAAACAAAAGGAAAACUAAUUUCGAUUCGAUCUUGGGGCUUUUGUCUGGUGGAGCUUGUAAGAUCUAUGCAAAAAAAUGAAAACAAAGCCAAAUUGUUGCAAUCCCAUUAAAGUGAAAUUAAUGGCUGUCGCCAGCUGCGGAA